ACGAAGGGGGCUAGCGUUGUUCGGAAUUACUGGGCGUAAAGCGCGCGUAGGCGGUGAUCCAUGUCAGAGGUGAAAUCCCGGGGCUCAACUCCGGAAUUGCCUUUGAAACGGGAUCGCUAGAGUCCGAGAGAGGAUGGCGGAAUUCCUAGUGUAGAGGUGAAAUUCGUAGAUAUUAGGAAGAACACCGGUGGCGAAGGCGGCCAUCUGGCUCGGUACUGACGCUCAGGCGCGAAAGCGUGGGGAGCAAACAGG
rnacentral:rRNA from 1 species